GGNNGCGGNANNCNARCCGUGCAAAGGNAGCGUAANNACCNGUCUAUUAAUUGUAGACCCGUAUGAAUGGCAAAAUGAAGGUCUAACUGUCUCUUGUAGUAAAUCAAUUAAACUGAUCUCCCAGUCAAAAAGCUGGGAUACAAACAUAAGACCAGAAGACCCUGUGAAGCUUAAACUAAACUAUUAAAGCACAUAAUACCUCCUUUCGGUUGGGGCGACCUUGGAAAAAAAAAGAACUUCCAUACAUACGUGAUCAUCCACGACAAACCAGGCAAACAAGCCAAAAAAGACCCAGUACAACUGAUUAUUGAACCAAGUUACUCCAGGGAUAACAGCGCUAUCUUCUUCAAGAGCCCAUAUCAAAAAGAAGGUUUACGACCUCGAUGUUGGAUCAGGACAUCCUAAUGGUGCAGCCGCUAUUAAGGGUUCGUUUGUUCAACGAUUAAUAGUCCCACGUGAUCUGAUU
rnacentral:rRNA from 1 species